GAAAGGAAUUGACUUUCCAAGGUAUGAUAAAGGGAUGUGACUUACCAAGGUAUGGGAAAGGUGUGUGACUUACCAAGGUAUAAGAAAGGGAUGUGACUUACCAAGGUAUGGGAAAGGGAUGUGACUUACCAAGGUAUGAGAAAGGGAUCUGUUUUUCCAAGGUAUGGGAAAGGGUUGUGACUUAUCAAGGUAUGGGAAAGGGAUGUGACUUACCAAGGUAUGGGAAAGGGAUGUGACUUACCAAGGCAUGGGAAAGGGAUGUGACUUAUUAAGGUAUGGGAAAGGGAUGUGACUUACCAAGGUAGGGAAAAGGGAUGUGACUUACCAAGAGAUGGGAAAGGGAUUGGAAAGGGAUGAGAUUUACCAAGGUAUGGGAAAGGGAUGUGACUUAUCAAGGUAUGGGAAAGGGAUGUGACUUACCUUACCAAGGUAUGGGAAAGGGAUGUGACUUACCUUACCAAGGUAUGGGAAAGGGAUGUGACUUACCAUGCGAAGGUAUGAGAAAGGGAUGUGACUUACCAAGGUUUGGGAAAGGGAUGUGACUUACCAUGGUAUGGAAAAGGAAUGUCACUUACCAAGGUAUGGGAAAGGGAUGUGACUUACCAAGGUAUGGGAAAGGGAUGUGACUUACCAAGGUAUGGGAAAGGGAUGUGACUUACCAAGGUAUUGGAAAGGGAUGUAACUUACCAAGGUAUGAGAAAGGGAUCUGUUUUACUAAGGUAUGGGAAAGGGAUGUGACGUACCUUACCAAGGUAUGGGAAAGUGGUGUUACUUACCAAGAUAUGGGAAAGGGAUGUGACUUACCAAGGUAUGAAAAAGGGAUGUGACUUACCUUACCAAGGUAUGUGAAAGGGAUGUAACUUACCAUGCGAAGGUAUGGGGAAGGGAUGUGACUUACCAAGGUAUGGGAAAGGGAUGUGACUUACCAAGGUAUGGUAAAGGGAUGUGACUUACCAAGGUAUGAGUAAGGGAUCUGUUUUUCCAAGGUAUGGGAAAGGGAUGUGACUUACCAAGGUAUGGGAAAGGGAUGUGACUUACCAAGGUAUGAGAAAGGGAUGUGACUUACCAAGGUAUGGGAAAGGGAUGUGACUUACCAAGAGAUGGGAGAGGGAUUGGAAAGGGAUGUGACUUACCAAGGUAUUGAAAAGGGAUGUUACUUACCGUAUCAAGGUAUGGGAAGGGAGGUGACUUACCAAGGUAUGGGAAAGGGAUGAGACUUUCCAAGGUAUGGGAAAGGGAUGUGACUUACCAAGGUAUAAGAAAGGGAUGUUACUUACCGUAUCAAGGUAUGGGAAAGGGAGGUGACAUACCAAGGUAUGGGAAAGGGAUGAGACUUACCAA